rnacentral:rRNA from 1 species
GACGAACGCUGGCGGCGUGCUUAACACAUGCAAGUCGAGCGGUAAGGCCCUUUCGGGGGUACACGAGCGGCGAACGGGUGAGUAACACGUGGGUGACCUGCCCUCAGCUCUGGGAUAAGCCCGGGAAACUGGGUCUAAUACCGGAUAUGACUCCACGGUGCAUGUCGUGGGGUGGAAAGCCUUGUGCGGCUGAGGAUGGGCCCGCGGCCUAUCAGCUUGUUGGUGGGGUGAUGGCCACCAAGGCGACGACGGGUAGCCGGCCUGAGAGGGCGACCGGCCACACUGGGACUGAGACACGGCCCAGACUCCUACGGGAGGCAGCAGUGGGGAAUAUUGGACAAUGGGCGCAAGCCUGAUCCAGCCAUGCCGCGUGAGUGAUGAAGGCCUUAGGGUUGUAAAGCUACCUUUACCUGGGAAGAUCAUGACGGUACCAGGAGAAUAAGCCCCGGCUAACUUCGUGCCAGCCGCCGCUGUAAG